rnacentral:lncRNA from 1 species
GCAUCAUUAAUGAAGAGCUAAAAUAUGUUUUGCAGAGCAACAAAGAAAAAAUAAACCUACAGGUUCAGGGAUAAAAAAUCAAGCUUCAUGCAUACAUGAUAUUCCUAGUAAAAUUUGGGAAGAUAAAUAUUUAACAUGAUUCUGACCACUUGUUGGAGUUCUUUUUCUUGAAAAGCUUCUUCUCCUUCAUCAGGAAACUUGUUCAAAUCAAAUUCGUCGGGUAGCUGGUUCAAAUCAAAUCUGUGAUGAAGGAGAAAUCUGGUGCACCUUUCUUCUUUUUUGGAGAAUCCAAAUCCAUAGUCUUCAUCUUCGGCCAUUUUUUCUUUUCAGAGAUAUGUAAAAGCAUUUGCAAUAUCAGAUAUAUAUUGAUUACCACUGUUAUGAAUAUGUAUUGGGAAGGAAAGGAAUAUGAAAGGGUAGCCUACAACUAAUCUAAUGCAUUGAAAAAACUAAUUAUUGUGUGCAUUAAUUACACUCUUAUUAGAAAAGAGGGAUAAAGGUAAAUUUGGAAAAAAAAAAUAUUUUGAAAUAACUCAAAGGGUGUAAAACGUCAGUUAAUAUGGAAUGGAGGGAGUAUUUUUUUUCAUUCAAUAAAAUUAAGUCAUUACUUUUCUGUCUUGAUUCUUGGAAUCCAAACAUAGCAGAAUAUUGGAACUUAGGGAGUAUCAUAUCUUCUUGAUGUUGGUUGCCAUGGAGUAUUAUAAUAGAUAGAUUUAGGGACAGAAUUUUGUGCAGUGUAGAGUAGCAAUCUCUCUCUUUUUGCUACACUAUUAAUUAUUGAUAAAAACUGGACUUCAAUUCUCUCUCUGUACCCAAGUUAAGAAUAGCUCACAAGGCUUGUACUAGUUAGUUGUCCAUUGGAGUAUUAUUUUUCCAUAAUCUAUAAGAAUUUCCAACUUAUCAUGAUACAUAUCCCACUAAACAUCAAUCUCUAGAAGAAACUUCAAUUACAAAUUGAGAGACUUUAGCUCCAUGUUAGAAGCAGUGUCUCUUUAAAACUUGAGUCAACGUAGAAUUUUGAAUUUUUCACUGUACAUAUCUUUUCUUUUGAGUCUUGAUUAGACAAGCCCGAGAUGUUGAUUCACAAGUUGCCUAUAAUAUGAUGUUCUGCGCAGGAAUAUAAAAAUUUUGUACCACCUAGUACCUGCGUGUCCCAAUUUUAUGGACUCCUGUCCUUAAUCAAGAUGGGCGUAAAUGAAUGGAGUUGAGCCGAGUAUUGAGUUGUUCAUUCCAAGCACCUAUUGCAAUAAAAAGGAGAUUUACAUAACUAUGAUCAAACAUUUUAAGGGGAUGUUUAUAUAAUCCACAAUUAGCAAAGUUUUGUGGAUUUUACGUGUUCACAUAAAUCAGGCAUUAAUCAACAAAAAAUUGGAAAUGCGUAAUGCACAGAAUGACCUAUGAUCAAAGUGAACCAGCAAUAUGGUACUUCAAACCUGCUUAACUCAGCAAUUUACAGCCCAAUAAAAUGAUCUGUAUUUCCAGCUAGGGGAUAAUCCAUUAAGCUAGCAUUGCAAGCUAGCAUACUGCAAUGGUAAAGUUCUUAGAAAAGGGAAGUAGAGAGUUGAGAUUCUUAUUUUCAGGCAAAUAUCAUUAAUUGGUGAUUGAAGAUCAUUAUACUCCUUAACACCAUAUAUAACACCCUCGGCAAGUUUUAGCAAUGAUGCCAAAAGACUGUCAACUAGCUCUUUAAUUUGGCUCUUUCCUUUCUUCGUUAGACCUGUAAACUUCUUGUUUAUAAAUAUAUAAGGCUUCAACAUCUUAAUUUCAAGACAUUUAAUUAAUGGACUAAUUAAUCCUGCAUGCAGGGUAUUAUGACAAUGUUAACUUUUUUUUUAAAGUGAUAAUAUCAAUUUAGAACUUUGAAUCUAGAAAUGAUGUUGAACCUCCAUCCCAAGGAAGUAGUAAUAUAGAGCAAAUUAGCUUUGCUUAGAAAUCAUCAACAAUCAUUUUAAAUUCUUUUGACACCAUAUACUGCCCGAAAUAAAUGCUAAAAAAGUUUAGUUUGUACUCUAGACCCAAUCAUUUUACAGAAAAGACAACCAAGAAAAAAAUUACUCUAUACUUUCUUAAGACAGAUAGAAAGUCGUUUAAGACAAAUACAUAUACAGGCUGAAAAGUUAUAUGUGACUAAGGCGUGGAGCAGAAUUUCUUUAAUUCAUGAGUGGAUGCUUUAAUAGGCGGCUGGCUACUAUGCUAUUUAAAUGAGGAUGGAGAAUGUGAUCCAUGGAUGUUCAGAAGGUUUUGAUUUGAGAGUAAAUUAAUUAAUGGUCUCUUGGAUGGAGAAUUUCAGAAGGUUGUGAUCCAUGGAGAAUUUCUUUAAUCAGCUAGUGCAGCCUUACUAGCCAUGUCAACGAUCUCCUCCAUAUCUGCAUAAUACUUGCGAUUGUUCCCUUUCUCCUCUUAUUCAACAAAUACCUAGCUUAUAAUUAAUUAGUAUAGGCAUGCAUGGCCCAACCAUGUUUAUCAAAAAUUAAGGCUUAGACUUUAUUAAUGGAGAUUUGGCUUUCCUCAAAGCUAAGUGAAUUAUUGGAGGUCUUCCAGCCUCCUUUCAUUUGCAUAAAUUGUUAGUUUGAAAUGAUAAAUUGUUAGUUUGAUAGUGUUGUAACUUGUACGUGAUGAAAUUAUGAUGAUAACUUUUAUACUACUAUCAAUACAAAAAAGAGGACUCUUUCUUAGAACAAUAAAAUUAAUUUUGUGGCUUAUUUGAACUACCUAUUAUUAUGUCCAGCAAAAGUUAGUACGUACGUGUUAGGAAAAUCAGCAACAGAAUAGGCCAGUUGUGGUAUUCAAAAGUAAACCCAUGAAUCAACUCAGCACACAUAUAUUGACACAACUCAGAAGCUUCAUGACACUGCUGUAACUGUUCGGGAACGACUUAUUUAAAAAUACUUAUAAGUUCAAAUUUAAAAUCACUUAUUAAGUUGCGAUUUAUAAAGAUCGAUAUAUUAAUUAUAGGAUAAAUAAAUCAUAAAUGCAUGGGUGAUCCAAUUUCGUACUAAACCUUAACCUACAAACAUUAGUACUAAUUUAUGUCAAGUAGUUAACAGUAAAUUAAAGAAACCAACCCAUAUUCAAGAUGAACAAAUUAAAAAAAAAAAUACCAACUUAUUAAACUUCGCCGGAAUUGAAGAAAUGAUUUGCAAUUCUUAAGUUCAACUGUGCUGUGCGUGAGAGACGGAGUAC